rnacentral:rRNA from 1 species
UACGGAGGAUGCAAGCGUUAUCCGGAAUGAUUGGGCGUAAAGCGUCCGCAGGUGGCUGUGUAAGUCUGCUGUCAAAGAGCGAAGCUCAACUUCGUAAAGGCAGUGGAAACUACACGGCUAGAGUGCGUUCGGGGCAGAGGGAAUUCCUGGUGUAGCGGUGAAAUGCGUAGAGAUCGGGAAGAACAUCAGUGGCGAAGGCGGUCUGCUGGGCCGUUGCUGACGCUGAGGCGCGACAGCGUGGGGAGCAAACAGG